rnacentral:rRNA from 1 species
UUAAAGAGUUCUAUAACUCCCAAACCCAUGUGAACAUACCUAACGUUGCCUCGGCAGGUCGCACCUACCUUGUAGCACCCUACCCUGUAGGGCCUACCCGGGAGGUGCGGGUAAGCCUGCCGGCGGCCCACCAAACUCUGUUUGAUAUUGAAUUCUGAACCUAUAACUAAAUAAGUUAAAACUUUCAACAACGGAUCUCUUGGUUCUGGCAUCGAUGAAGAACGCAGCGAAAUGCGAUAAGUAAUGUGAAUUGCAGAAUUCAGUGAAUCAUCGAAUCUUUGAACGCAUAUUGCGCCCAUUAGUAUUCUAGUGGGCAGGACCGUUCGAGCGUCAUUUCAACCCUUAAGCCUUCGUUGCUUAGUGUUGGGAGCCUACGGCAACGUAGCUCCUCAAAGUUAGUGGCGGAGUUGGUUCACACUCUAGACGUAGUAAUUUUUUAUCUCGCCUAUUAGUUGGACUAAUCCCCUGCCGUAAAACCCCCAAUUUAUCAAGGUUGACCUCGAAUCGGUUCAGACAAACUCGCUAAAUUGAAGCAUCUUAGUCAGCGAAGGAAAAGAAACC